rnacentral:rRNA from 1 species
AUUGAACGCUGGCGGCAGGCUUAACACAUGCAAGUCGAACGAGCGGCGGACGGGUGAGUAAUGUCUGGGAAACUGCCCGAUGGAGGGGGAUAACUACUGGAAACGGUAGCUAAUACCGCAUACCAUCGGAUGUGCCCAGAUGGGAUUAGCUAGCAGGUGGGGUAAUGGCUCACCUAGGCGACGAUCCCUAGCUGGUCUGAGAGGAUGACCAGCGACGCUGGGACUGAGACACGGUCCAAACUCCUACGGGAGGCAGCAGUGGGGAAUAUUGCACGGUGGGCGCAAGCCUGAUGCAGCCAUGGCGCGUGUGUGAAGAAGGCCUUCGGGUUGUAAAGUACUUUCAGCGAGGGGGCGUUACUCGCAGAAGAAGCACCGGCUAACUCCGUGCCAGCAGCCGCGGUAAUUC